UCCCCUCGAGCCAUGCGUCCUCUCCUCUCCCUCCCCUCCCCUUCUCUCGCCGCCAUCGCCCGUCGCUGGAGCCCUGCGUCCCCUCCUCCCCCUCCCCUCCACUUCUCUCGUCGCCGUCAUGCGUCGCUUUCUUCGCCCGAUGGCGGCGGCAUUGGCAGCGACCUGCACGCCAAGGGCGAUGGCGGUGGUGUUAGAUCUGAUGCAGCGCCAUGGAGAGAGGAAAGGAAAGAGAGGAGGGAGAAAGAGAGAGGAAAAAGGAGAUGGAGGUGCAUUGGCUGACGGGAGAGGGUCAUUGGCCUGGAAGGACGCGGACAGCAGCAGCUUGGACCAACAGCGUCCUGGCCGUGCCUUGCCGAUGAGCGGCAUGCAUGGUGCACCAGGGGGUAGUCACGGCUUUGGGAGUUGCGCAUCGAGCGACGACGACCACAUCUGCCUCCAUCACCAAGCAAGCUGAAGACGCGGCCCUCCAUCUGUGGCAGCGACGAGCGGCAGUCAGCACGAGGUCGGGGUGGAGGGUCAUGAGCACCAGCAGGCGCGUCGAGGGGCACCAGGAGGCACCAUGGUCACUGUGGGAGCACCCCAAACCCGAAGGCCAUCACCAGCCGCUACUUAGGUGAGCAAAUCCAUUCUCCUAUCGGAUUCAGAUAUCUUUGGGUAGUCAAGGUAAAUCCUUUAUGCUUGAGGGUACCGUAAACAGGCUAUUGAUUGAAUGAAACUUGUGGUUGGCUGCUAUUGUGUUGUUUGAUGUUUGGUUCAGAGGAAAAAUUGCAUUUAUUUAUAUAAAAGGUACUUAGUAAAAUUCAGUCUGAUUUAAUCAUCACUCAGCUUCAGGGUUAUGUAUCUCUGUACGUAUAGAUUUUCAUGUUUAGAGAAAAACCUGUAUGUCAAAACAAGAUGCCACGGUGAAUUAAUCUACAUCAAGAUAGCAUCAUGUUCUCAUCAAAAAAGGAGUUAAAGUUUCAGCCAUGAUUGAGACCGGUUUAAAAUGAAGUAAUGCUAAAAGGAAUAAUUAAUUGGAUAUAUAUGCAACACACUGCGAGAUCGGCGGUCAAGGCCACUUUCACGGCUUCAGGGGACCACCAACGGUCACCAAGGUGGCGGCGUCCGUGUAGGAGAGAGAGAAGAUGAGGAGAGAGAGAAGGAAGGAGAGGAGGGCCAAAGAGAGGUCAAUGGAGAGGGAGGUGCAGUGCCGUGAGAAGAAUACAAUGGGGCGCGGUCUUCUGGAGGUGCAUCAGGUCCAUGCCAAGGGCCUCUCGGGCAGUGAUUUCCUCCGGAAGAUAGACUCAUAGGUGGUCGUGCAGUCCCGGAGCCAGGAGCGCAAGGGCAGCACGGCCCGAGGCAAUUUCUUGCCAUUGGCGCCAUUAUGGCCAUUAUUUCCUAUGCAAGCGGAAUAAUAUGCCAUGGAAGCAUUUAUUUCCCCCUCUAAUUAAGCAUUGCAACGGUGAAACGUUAGCUAUUGCUGAUUAUAAACUUGGAAAUGCUAUAAAAGAGAAGCUGGUUAGUUAGGUUCCUUAGUUGCGUUGUUCAUGUAGAAUUCUUGAUGCAUUUGAGACGGUGGAAAUGAGAGAAGCUGGAGCGUAGCACUGACCGUGACUGUGAUUGCUACAGCUCUAAGCGAUAGACGGAGGUCUCAACUGGCUGGGAAGAUUUGACAAGAGAUGUGGAGAUGGGGCACGGGGAGGGGAGGGCGAGGCGCCCUGGAGACCCCGGUUGUGGCGCAGUGCGACGAGGCAGGCGUGGGACUCGCGGUGGCGGGCGGCCUCGUGCUGGAGCUGGUCCUGGCGGGCGGCCUCAGCCUCGUGCUGGAGCUGGUCCUGGCGGGCGGCCUCGGCCUCGUCCACACGGACAUCUCCUGGUUGUCGAACUGGUUGAGGGUCAUCCAACUUCUUGUUUAUAUAUCAGGCUACUGUUUGAUAAAAUGUUUCCUGACGUCCGGACCAGUCAUACUUAUGCAAGAUAACUACUUCAGGUUAGGCGGGAGAAAUAAAAAGGGUAACCAUAGAUAUAUGGUCUAGCAUCACGAGGUUCAAGUUCCUGCUGUUGAUCAACCGUUGCUUCGGUCGAGGUGGCUUAUGCUUGAUUAUUUUCUUCUUUGUAUUUUUGUUCAUGGCCUACACUGGUGUUAUCAUCUAUUCUGUUACAAAAAUUUCAAUGGCUUAGUUUCAUGUCCCAGGUACCUUCGGACAGGACAAUAAUGUAUGUAUUUACCUAUGGUUAUUGUUUCCUAUAAGAAACAUGAGCAUCUCACCUUGGUUUCCCCUGUAUCUGACUUGGGACAAUUUUAUGUGAGAUUUGUUUUGCAUUUUCUGUGUGUGUGGAUGCUUAAGCUUAAGCUUUUGUUAUUUGGUUCAGUUAGAGAUUAAAAAAGACUGAAAUUAUGGGCUCGCAGCGAGGAUUGAUGUGUCCAACCUGCACAAGAAUGCCAAGAAGUCCUUCUCGAAGACGAUUAAGGACAUGUACCUGCACUACAACGAGAGAUCUGGGCUGCCUUUUUGUGGCUUCCAAACUUGAAAUGUUUGUUUGGAAGUUAGUUUAGUUUUUUAUUAUGGAUUCACAGCUUCUCGCAUGUACCAUCCUCUCAGACCUUUAGAUUUCCAAAGAAACUAAAUAAAGAUAUCGUGGUAUGGUCUCAAUAGUACAACUUGAAGCUUUCCAUGCUUUAUA